GGAGGGGUGGCAGAGCGGUCGAAUGCGGCGGUCUUGAAAACCGCUGGAGCCGCAAGGCUCCCGUGGGUUCGAAUCCCACCCCCUCCG
rnacentral:tRNA from 1 species